UCCAGCACCUCCAUUAACCCUUCCCCUCCGUACAUUGAGCACAGCUUCACCAUCGUUAACACCACCAUUAACUCCUAAAUUUCCAUCUCUCUCUAUCUUAUCUCUAUUCUUAUCAAGAACAGUAACCCUAGAAGAUAAGAUUUAGAGAGGUAGAGUUAGGGUUAGCUGUACAAUUGGGGGAACAUCGAUUUAACGAAGUUGCAGGGAAAUUGAAGGCAGAUAAAGUCAAUGGAGUCUUGUUGGUACCUGCAAAACUGCACUGCAAACCAAGGAAAAGAAGGGACAGGAGCAGCAGAACUCAUUUGCUUAUCGUGCCUAAACCCGGUUUAUACCGGCGGUAUUGUUAUUGAACCUCUUUUUACUUGUUGUUGUGUGAACGAUACACCAUGUCUGCUCACUGAACCAGUGCUUACUGACCUGCGUCAACGCACCUGCAAUAUAGAGUAUCGUCGUGCAUGAUCCUGCGAUAUCUAAAUCACAUGUUUGCAUGUUGAAUCUGUGUACUGGGUAGUAUCUAGUUCUGCAACAUAUUGUUUGCGCACAUAUAAUUUCAAAGACUAGUUGUUAAUCCCCAUAGACAUGAUUCUGUGAUAGUUGAGUGCCAUCCUUGCUUGAUGAAGUUACUGUUUCACUGUGAUUCUCUCGAUAUCUGCAUGAUACUGUGUCUGUUUACGUGAAUCUUUGAUUCUGCUUCCAUUUAAAGCAUCAUCUCGGCCCUGAAUCUUAUUGUCACUCUUAAAAGCUUCACACUGCUGAUUUGCGCAGUGCGGAUCGUCUGAUUUGUACAAACAUUUCAGUUCUGUGUGCAUUAAUUCCAAAAGCUAUCUUUGAUUUGCA